AUUGAACGCUGGCGGAAUGCUUUACACAUGCAAGUCGAACGGCAGCACGGACUUCGGUCUGGUGGCGAGUGGCGAACGGGUGAGUAACAUAUCGGAACGUAUCCAAUAACGGGGGAUAACGAGUCGAAAGAUUCGCUAAUACCGCAUACGCCCUACGGGAGAAAGCUGGGGACCUUCGGGCCUGGCGUUAAUGGAGCGGCCGAUAUCUGAUUAGCUAGUUGGUGAGGUAAAGGCUCACCAAGGCGACGAUCAGUAGCUGGUCUGAGAGGACGACCAGCCAUACUGGAACUGAGACACGGUCCAGACUCCUACGGGAGGCAGCAGUGGGGAAUUUUGGACAAUGGGCGCAAGCCUGAUCCAGCCAUUCCGCGUGAGUGAAGAAGGCCUUCGGGUUGUAAAGCUCUUUCGCAAGGGAAGAAAACUUAGCCACUAACAUUGGUUGAGGUUGACGGUACCUUGAUAAGAAGCACCGGCUAACUACGUGCCAGCCGCCGCGGUAA
rnacentral:rRNA from 1 species